rnacentral:rRNA from 1 species
ACGAACGCUGGCGGCAUGCCUCACCCAUGCCAGUCGAACGAGACCUUCGGGUCUAGUGGCGCACGGGUGCGUAACGCGUGGGAACCUGCCCUUAGGUUCGGAAUAACUCCCCGAAAGGGGUGCUAAUACCGGAUAAUGUCUUCGGACCAAAGAUUUAUCGCCUUUGGAUGGGCCCGCGUUGGAUUAGCUAGUUGGUAGGGUAAAAGCCUACCAAGGCGACGAUCCAUAGCUGGUCUGAGAGGAUGAUCAGCCACACUGGGACUGAGACACGGCCCAGACUCCUACGGGAGGCAGCAGUGGGGAAUAUUGGACAAUGGGCGAAAGCAUGAUCCAGCAAUGCCGCGUGAGUGAUGAAGGCCUUAGGGUUGUAAAGCGCUUUUACCCGGGAUGAUAAUGACAGUACCGGGAGAAUAAGCUCCGGCUAACUCCGUG